rnacentral:tmRNA from 1 species
GGGGCUGUUUUUUGGUUUCGACGGGAAUGAUUGGUUUUAAAUGGCAAGUCGGAGGUACACGUUAAGUACAACCAAAAAUAAAUGCAAACAAAGUUAAAAACGUAUUUGCUGGUGCACCUGCUCCAGCUUUCGCUUAAUAAAAUUUAAGACGAGUACGGCCUUUUAUUAUUCUUCUCCCACGAGAGUUUUAAAGGGUUCGAUUUAGUGGGAUAUAUUAUUAUUUAGCUUAAAAAUAAUAAUGAAUUUAAUAAGCUUACUAAAUAAUGGGUUGUUAGUUACUAACAUUAUUUAGGACAUUUUAUAACUAACUAAACUUGUAGAUAUUUAAAAUAGGUUAUUUUCGGACAGGAGUUCAAAUCUCCUCAGCUCCACCA